UAGACGCCAGAACAGAUCACGUCAAAUACCUCCCUUAAACAGGUAAUAACAAAUGAACCCUGUUCCACGUCUUAGGUUGGGGCGACCACGGUGAACAGAAAAACCCCCGCGUGGACUGAGAGCACAUACUUACACUCAUAAUACUGCUUCUCACAACCAUGAGCUACAGCUCUAAAUAACAGAACUUCUGACCAAAAAAAUGAUCCGGCAAUGCCGAUUAACGGACCAAGUUACCCC
rnacentral:rRNA from 1 species